rnacentral:rRNA from 1 species
UUGCACCGGGUGGAUGAGUGGCGAACGGGUGAGUAACACGUGAGUAACCUGCCCCUGACUUCGGGAUAAGCCCGGGAAACUGGGUCUAAUACCGGAUACGACCGCCGGACGCAUGUCUGGUGGUGGAAAGUUUUUUCGGUUGGGGAUGGGCUCGCGGCCUAUCAGUUUGUUGGUGAGGUAAUGGCUCACCAAGACGACGACGGGUAGCCGGCCUGAGAGGGCGACCGGCCACACUGGGACUGAGACACGGCCCAGACUCCUACGGGAGGCAGCAGUGGGGAAUAUUGCACAAUGGGGGAAACCCUGAUGCAGCGACGCAGCGUGCGGGAUGACGGCCUUCGGGUUGUAAACCGCUUUCAGCAGGGAAGAAGCGCAAGUGACGGUACCUGCAGAAGAAGUACCGGCUAACUACGUGCCAGCAGCCGCGGUAAUACGUAGGGUACGAGCGUUGUCCGGAAUUAUUGGGCGUAAAGAGCUCGUAGGUGGUUGGUCACGUCUGCUGUGGAAACGCAACGCUUAACGUUGCGCGUGCAGUGGGUACGGGCUGACUAGAGUGCAGUAGGGGAGUCUGGAAUUCCUGGUGUAGCGGUGAAAUGCGCAGAUAUCAGGAGGAACACCGGUGGCGAAGGCGGGACUCUGGGCUGUAACUGACACUGAGGAGCGAAAGCAUGGGGAGCGAACAGGAUUAGAUACCCUGGUAGUCCAUGCCGUAAACGUUGGGCACUAGGGUGUGGGGGGCAUUCCACGUUCUCCGCGCCGUAGCUAACGCAUUAAGUGCCCCGCCUGGGGAGUACGGUCGCAAGGCUAAAACUCAAAGGAAUUGACGGGGGCCCGCACAAGCGGCGGAGCAUGCGGAUUAAUUCGAUGCAACGCGAAGAACCUUACCAAGGCUUGACAUACACCGGACCGUCCUGGAAACAGGUCCUCUUCUUUGAAGAUGGUGUACAGGUGGUGCAUGGUUGUCGUCAGCUCGUGUCGUGAGAUGUUGGGUUAAGUCCCGCAACGAGCGCAACCCUCGUUCUAUGUUGCCAGCACGUGAUGGUGGGAACUCAUAGGAGACUGCCGGGGUCAACUCGGAGGAAGGUGGGGAUGACGUCAAAUCAUCAUGCCCUUUAUGUCUUGGGCUUCACGCAUGCUACAAUGGCUGGUACAGAGAGAGGCGAACCCGUGAGGGCAAGCGAAUCCCUUAAAGCCAGUCUCAGUUCGGAUCGUAGUCUGCAAUUCGACUACGUGAAGUCGGAGUCGCUAGUAAUCGCAGAUCAGCAACGCUGCGGUGAAUACGUUCCCGGGCCUUGUACACACCGCCCGUCAAGUCACGAAAGUCGGUAACACC